GGUGUCUAUAAGUCCGUCUGAUUAAAAUAAUGGAGUUUAUUUCAGCAGAAAUGCCUCUUGUGGCUGCCAGUAUAAAGGCAGGUGGAGGUAGGUAACCCUGUAAUGAAAACAUUGCCCUUUCUGCAGAAUGGAAGUGUUUUUUUUUAGCAGCAGGAUUAUACAUGGCACCCAGACCACGUCAUUGAGAUGAAAUGGUCUGGGUGCCUAUAGAGUUCCUUUAUAAUUGUGAGAAAUUGGCAUUUGGAAUUCUGACUGAUCUAUGAACUGUAGCAUACUGAGCAAUAAUACAGACUGCAAGUAACAGAGAGAGGUUAAAGGACAAAUGUCAUCACAUUUUCACUACUCUUGUUUAUUACAUUUAGUGAAACAAUGAUUUUUGUUUGGUGUGAAACUGUAG